rnacentral:rRNA from 1 species
UUCUACCUACGGGGGGCAGCAGUGGGGGAUAUUGCACAAUGGGGGGAACCCUGAUGCAGCGACGCCGCGUGGGUGAAGAAGCGCCUCGGCGCGUAAAGCCCUGUCAGCAGGUAAGAAAAUGACGGUACCUGAAGAAGAAGCCCCGGCUAACUACGUGCCAGCAGCCGCGGUAAUACGUAGGGGGCAAGCGUUAUCCGGAUUUACUGGGUGUAAAGGGAGCGCAGGCGGCGCGUUAAGCCUGGUGUGAAAGCCCGCGGCCCAACCGCGGGACUGCAUUGGGAACCGGCGCGCUGGAGUGC